GGGCUUGCUUUGGCAGCGCACACACUAAAAAUGGAAUGAUGCAGAAGAUUAACAUGGUCCCAGCGCAGGGAUGACCUGCAAAUUCACAAAGCAGUCUAUCAGUUUUUU
ensembl:snRNA U6 U6 spliceosomal RNA